UCUCAGUCUCCCUCUCUCGCUAAACCCUUGAUUUCACUCUCUCUCGCUUCAUUGUUGUAGAACCGCAGCUGAACCCCUUUGUAUUUGCAGAUCGAUUCAAGUAAUAUUCACUCUCAGUCUUGCUCUCUCUUUCUCUCUAAACCCUUGAUUUCACUUUCUCUCGCUUCAAACGCUUUCGUUUCAAAGACAACCCUUCAUAUUUGUAGAACCGCAGCUGAACCCCUUCAUAUUUGCAGAUCGAUUCAAGUAUUUGUAGAUCGAUUCAAGCCUCUUCUCUAGUUCGUGUUCGUGUUCGAGUUCGCAGCUCUUUCUUCAUAGUUCUCUCAAAUUGUUGGAAGCCCAUAUUACAUGGCACCAAAGGUGCUCAAGCGGAAUUGCGGACUACAAAUAGAUAUUUGGGCACCAGAGGUUCUCUGAAAUUGUUGGACUAGAAAGGUUCUUUGAAUUGGUUUUGCUGCCAACCUGAGUCAUCAGGAGUAUUUCCUCAGUUUUUUCUUUCCAAAGAGAAAGAUAACCCAACAUUUAGAUCGCUUUCUUUGAGUGGAGUGCGCGGCUUUUUUUGGUAUUGGCACUGCUGUCCUUUUCAAAGGGUCUUCUUCUUGUGCCUCAAUAGAGUGAAGUUCAAUAAAAAGGUGGGAUUCCUGUUUGUAUAGAAGGGGCAAAUUGGAAGGGAAGUUUAUUUUAAUGACGUGAGAUAGGCAUCCCACAUGUAAAUGAAGACUGCUCAUUGCAGUUUCGAAUAUACAGUUUCUUUCAUUUGUUCUCCACAUUUCUUGAUCACUAAGGUGAGAUGAGCUCUUAGGCUGAUCUUAUGUAGAUGUGCAGGUACAUUUGAUGUGCCCAUAUUUAGCACUUUCUAGUGAAUAAUACGCAUUUAAACAACAUGGACUUAAUUUUUUCAUGCUUGGUAUGGUUCAAUAAUGGUCAAAAGUAAUGCACUCAACAAAGUUUUUUCAUAAGAUUUAGAUUUCAGAACCAUGGUCCCUCUGAACAAGUGCAAGACUUGUCACCCAUGCAUGCUGUAAGCACCAAUUUUGGAUGAUCUUUUCUGACAAGGUGCACUGUUGAUAAUAUUAUGGAUACAUCAGUAGGUAUUUUAACUUUUAUACUAACGAGUUGAUGAACCCCCCUUUCGUUUUU